UGGAGAAGAGCGAGCAAAGAGCCGGAGGCACACCAUCGCAGGCUCGUCGUGAGUGUUAUCCAUUGCCUUUCCGCACACGGAUUGAGCCAGUACUUCAGUGGUUGCCAAGGUUCGACGUGCUUCAACAGCUGCCUCUCCGCAGGCGUACCCGGAGCAGCAAUGCACUUUGCCUGGCCGGCAGGUUGGUGCCCGGUGCAAGCCCAACGAGAGAGCGACCUUUGGUCAGAAGGGGCCUGCAGGAGUAAUCAGGUUUCUGGAGUGUGCCCGCGGAGGGUUUCCGUGAGAAAGAACUGAUCUUCACCAUGUAUGCGGGUGCAAGGUGUUCGAUGAAAUGCGUGAGUGGACACUUAAUGUUCUCAACGGCAGGGAGUCAUCCAUCGUGUUUGUGAUCUUGUACCGUUGCACGCUUUGACCGGUUUUGCUAUGCAUAUAGCAAUCAUCUUCUUCAAGGUGUUGCGUGGCAAACGAAGCAAGUGCAGCUGCAGAGUUGGGUCCCUCUGGCAGGCUACAAGCGUGACCAUCGAAGGGAAGUCAAUCAGAGGAUCUUCACAGGCAGAGGAUCCUAGACCGCCCAAGAGGUUUUGACUGAGGAAGCAAAUAUUAUUGCUUAUGCUUGAGUGUGGC